GUUGCUUCUGGUUAUGGUUCCCAUGAGAAGCAAAUCUGGGUUCAAAAACCAAAUUCUGGUUCUUAGAGUUUUUGAAAAGUCAUUAUUUUGCAUUGGAAUGCAUAGUCCCAUGAAAUUUUGGAGCAUGCACUUGCUGUACGCGGUUGGCUGUCUCUUUUUACUGAACAGAUGGUCAGGUGUGAAGAAGUUUCAGCAGAGAAGGGUUUUCUUCGGGAAACCUAGAAGGGAAAGAUAAUGUCAAUGAUGCCGGAUAAUUGUGUAAUUAUAUACUUGGUGGAUUGCAGAAAAUCCCGAUCUUUAGUCAAAGACAGCUCAAAAUAGGAGGAAGAAAGGAAGGAAAAAGAUUAAAAAAAAAAAGGAAAAAGAUAUCUUCAUUAUAAAUCCUAUAUAGGACCACAGAUUUCUCCAGGGUGACCCUUUGUGGGGUUCUACUCACCAGAGGAAGCCAUUGAUGUCCUCAUUGUUGCCUUUGACCGACUGCAAAUCGGGAUAUUCUAGUUCUAUAGGUUGAUCCCUCACUCUGAUUGAAACUGUAUAUAAGUAUCGAAAGCAAGAGCCUUACUUGAUUUCCCAUGUUUCUUAAUAUGCGUCUUGUUAAGCAGUCUAGCAUUACUCGAUUUGGUGAGAAUUUGUUUAUAGCCCCAUGUAUUUUGCAGGGCUAUCUAUAAUUGGGUUCUUGUCAAUUGUCAAAGAGAAGAAAAGGUGGGAAGAUCUUUGUUUAGCUGUGCUGAGAGUAGUAGUGAUGGUAGAAGUUCGAGUAUGUGAAUGGACUGAUGGUUAAAUGGAGUGUUUUUAAAAGAGUGGAUGAAUGUUAUAAGACGGCCAGGAACUAGUUGGGUCUUUGUUAGUGGCUGUGAAACUUUUGUUAAUGGAAAGUUGCUUUGGUGCGA
rnacentral:misc_RNA from 1 species